rnacentral:rRNA from 1 species
GGCUAGUUACGGGGCAGGAGGCGAGGUUAUGGGGAUGUGGCAGGGGUUGUCCGGAAUUAUGGGGCGUAUGGCGCGCACAGGGGGCUUCGUAAGUACAGCUGAAGAGGGCGGGGCUUAACCCCAGGAGGGGAUGGAAACUGAGAGGCUGGAGUAUCGGAGAGGAAAGUGGAAUUCCUAGUGUAGCGGUGAAAUGCGUAGAGAUUAGGAAGAACACCGGUGGCGAAGGGGACUUUCAGGACGACAACUGACGCUGAGGCGCGAAAGCGUGGGGAGCAAACAGGAUUAGAUACCCUGGUAGUC